rnacentral:pre_miRNA from 1 species
GCGCUGAAAGUGAGAGUUGGAGCAAAACAAACCACCGAUCGAUCGUCGGUUCAAUCGACGGGAAAACAAGAUCGACGAUUGGUUUGUUUUCCUCCAAUAUCUCACCUUCAGUCA